UUGCUGACGAGUGGCGGACGGGUGAGUAAUGUCUGGGAAACUGCCUGAUGGAGGGGGAUAACUACUGGAAACGGUAGCUAAUACCGCAUAACGUCGCAAGACCAAAGAGGGGGACCUUAGGGCCUCUUGCCAUCGGAUGUGCCCAGAUGGGAUUAGCUAGUAGGUGGGGUAACGGCUCACCUAGGCGACGAUCCCUAGCUGGUCUGAGAGGAUGACCAGCCACACUGGAACUGAGACACGGUCCAGACUCCUACGGGAGGCAGCAGUGGGGAAUAUUGCACAAUGGGCGCAAGCCUGAUGCAGCCAUGCCGCGUGUAUGAAGAAGGCCUUCGGGUUGUAAAGUACUUUCAGCGGGGAGGAAGGGAGUAAAGUUAAUACCUUUGCUCAUUGACGUUACCCGCAGAAGAAGCACCGGCUAACUCCGUGCCAGCAGCCGCGGUAAUACGGAGGGUGCAAGCGUUAAUCGGAAUUACUGGGCGUAAAGCGCACGCAGGCGGUUUGUUAAGUCAGAUGUGAAAUCCCCGGGCUCAACCUGGGAACUGCAUCUGAUACUGGCAAGCUUGAGUCUCGUAGAGGGGGGUAGAAUUCCAGGUGUAGCGGUGAAAUGCGUAGAGAUCUGGAGGAAUACCGGUGGCGAAGGCGGCCCCCUGGACGAAGACUGACGCUCAGGUGCGAAAGCGUGGGGAGCAACAGGAAUAGAUACCCUGGUAGUCCACGCCGU
rnacentral:rRNA from 1 species